GUGUUAGAGAGAGAGAGAGAGUGGCAUGACCUAGAGAGAGAAGGAGAAGAAGAAAGAAAGGAAGAAGAAGAAGAAGAAGGGAUCAAGCUAGGGCUCGUUGAGAAGUUGUCAUUUUACUUAGCUUGGACUUGAGGUAGCAAAUAUGUUUCUCUAUGGCACGUGUGGUGAUGUGGGGAGUUCUAUCAUCAUAGUGUGUAUGGCGUGGGGGCAUCCUAUGGACGAGAAACGAUCAAUUAAAAACGUCAUUUAUCUUUUAAUAAUGUUAUGUUUAAUGGGAUUUUUCAAACUUAUCAGUGGAACUUGAACUUUUGGUUGUUUUAGAACUUUGCAUGAAAACUGCUAUUUUCUUUUAAAACUAUUGGGCUCAACUUGUAUGUUUUCAGCAAGACCUCACUGGGAUUUUAUA